UACGUAGGGUGCGAGCGUUGUCCGGAAUUAUUGGGCGUAAAGGGCUCGUAGGCGGUUUGUCGCGUCGGGAGUGAAAACCUUGGGCUUAACUCAGGGCUUGCUUUCGAUACGGGCAGACUAGAGGUAUGCAGGGGAGAACGGAAUUCCUUGUGUAGCGGUGAAAUGCGCAGAUAUCAGGAGGAACACCGGUGGCGAAGGCGGUUCUCUGGGCAUGAUCUGACGCUGAGGAGCGAAAGUGUGGGGAGCGAACAGG
rnacentral:rRNA from 1 species